CUAGCUCCGCCCUGCCUCGGUUCCGGGAUUUCCCGGUGAAAAGGGAAUGCGGUGAAAUUCCGCGACUGCCCCCGCAACUGUCAGCGGUGAGCGAGGCCGGAACAUGCCACUGUCCGCCAGAUACGGAUGGGAAGGCCCGGCCGACCAGUGACCCGUGAAGUCAGGAGACCUGCCGAAGCCCUAUCACCCUG
rnacentral:ncRNA from 1 species